rnacentral:rRNA from 1 species
GAGUUUGAUUAUGGCUCAGGAUGAACGCUAGCGACAGGCUUAACACAUGCAAGUCGAGGGGCAGCGCGGGGGUAGCAAUACUUCGUGGCGGCGACCGGCGCACUGGUGAGUAACACGUAUGCGACCUGCCCCCGGACACGGGGGAUAAACCCGGGAAACUGGGCCUAAUACCCCAUAUGCCGCGGAGACGCAUGUCUCCGCGGUGAAAGAUCCGUCGGUCCGGGAUGGGCGAUGCGGCGCAUUAGCUUGUUGGCGGGGCAACGGCCCACCAAGGCGACGAUGCGUAGGGUUCUGAGAGGAAGGUCCCCCACACUGGUACUGAGACACGGACCAGACUCCUACGGGAGGCAGCAGUGAGGAAUAUUGGUCAAUGGACGCGAGUCUGAACCAGCCAAGUCCGCGUGCGGGAUGAAGGCCCUCCGGGUCGUAAACCGCUUUAGCCGGGGAGGUAACGUGCGGGUCGCGACCCGCAGUGAGAGUACCCGGAGAAUAAGCAUCGGCUAACUCCGUGCCAGCCGCAGC